rnacentral:rRNA from 1 species
AUUGAACGCUGGCGGCAUGCCUUACACAUGCAAGUCGAACGGCAGCACGGGUGCUUGCACCUGGUGGCGAGUGGCGAACGGGUGAGUAAUGCAUCGGAACGUACCCGGAAGUGGGGGAUAACGUAGCGAAAGUUACGCUAAUACCGCAUAUUCUGUGAGCAGGAAAGCGGGGGAUCGCAAGACCUCGCGCUUCCGGAGCGGCCGAUGUCGGAUUAGCUAGUUGGCGGGGUAAAGGCCCACCAAGGCAACGAUCCGUAGCGGGUCUGAGAGGAUGAUCCGCCACACUGGGACUGAGACACGGCCCAGACUCCUACGGGAGGCAGCAGUGGGGAAUUUUGGACAAUGGGCGCAAGCCUGAUCCAGCAAUGCCGCGUGCAGG